rnacentral:rRNA from 1 species
UACGGAGGGGGCUAGCGUUGUUCGGAAUUACUGGGCGUAAAGCGCGUGUAGGCGGCCCUGCAAGUCGGGUGUGAAAUCCCACGGCUCAACCGUGGAAGUGCACUCGAAACUGCAGGGCUAGAGUCCUGGAGAGGAAGGUGGAAUGCUUGGUGUAGAGGUGAAAUUCGUAGAUAUCAAGCGGAACACCGGUGGCGAAGGCGGCCUUCUGGACAGUGACUGACGCUGAGACGCGAAAGCGUGGGGAGCAAACAGG